AUUGAACGCUGGCGGCAGGCCUAACACAUGCAAGUCGAGCGAGCGGCGGACGGGUGAGUAAUGUCUGGGAAACUGCCUGAUGGAGGGGGAUAACUACUGGAAACGGUAGCUAAUACCGCAUACCCUCAGAUGUGCCCCGAUGGGAUUAGCUAGUAGGUGGGGUAACGGCUCACCUAGGCGACGAUCCCUAGCUGGUCUGAGAGGAUGACCAGCCAAACGGGAACUGAGACACGGUCCAGACUCCUACGGGAGGCAGCAGUGGGGAAUAGUGCAAAAUGGGCGCAAGCCUGAUGCAGCCAUGCCGCGGGUAUGAAGAAGGCCUUCGGGUGGUAAAGCACUUUCAGCGGGGAGGCGUUACCCGCAGAAGAAGCACCGGCUAACUCCGUGCCAGCAGCCGCGGUAAUUC
rnacentral:rRNA from 1 species